GGGGGUACAGCUCAGUAGUAGAGUGCAUGCUUAGUAUGCACGAGGUUCUUAGUAUGCCCGAGGUUCUGGGUUCAAUUCUCAGUACCUCCA
rnacentral:tRNA from 1 species